UCGGCCAGGUUGACCACGUGACCGCAUGUCAACGGACCCUCAAAGCCCGAUUCUGUUUCAUCGGACCGCUCUGCCGCUCUCUCGGCGUGGAGGAUACGUAAACAAAGUGACAUAUGAAGAUGCAAAGUUCAAAGAAAAAAAAUCCGGAAGCGGCGUCCGACCUAUCAACGAAUAAUGAAGAGCGGGAGAAAAGAAAAAGGAAGAGACUGCUCCUUUUCCGUCAAGCUUGCCUCUUCUGCAGGAACGACCUAGCACUCAGCCAGCCCCUCAACUUCCAGAACGUGCACCAGUGCCCAAGCAAAAACGCACACGUGAGCAGCGUGUCUCUUCCCAGGAGUGACUGAGGGGCUGCCACAAGGGGAGAAGGCAAGCAUGUUUCUGAUUACAAGAAUGGACAGUUGGGCUGGGCUAGUUGGUAAGAAUUGAUGUUGAAAAACGGUGCAAAAACCAGACAAAGAGAAAAGAACACACAGCACCUUGUCCUGUGUGUUCUCUUAUCCGUGCAUUUUGCACUGUUUUUCAGCAUGUUUCUGCCUUGAUUUUUCUGUUAUAGUUUUAAAUGUCUGUAGUUGGUUACUUUGAUCCCUGUUGGAAGCAUGGAAUUGGUUAACCGUGUUAAAUGCAUGGAAUUGAAAAAAAAAAUCAUGCUAUUUGAAUCAUUUAAAAGCUUUUUUUGUCUAAUGAUUUCUUUCUCUUUUUUUUACAACCAUCCCAUGAGUGAGUGCCUGUUGUUUGAAUUUUUUAUGGCAAUUUUUAAUAUGCAUAUGUUACCUUUUAUUUCUAUUCAUGUAUACAUUUUAGCCCUAGCUAGUGGUUUCUUUUAUUUAAUUUAUGUACACAUUAGUAUGGUAUUUUUACAAGUUUUAAAAUCUAUGUUCUUUUUCUAGUCCUUUCUGGUUUAUUGCCUCCAUUAUUUAUUUAUAUGUCCU